UAAGCACAGGGAACAGCACCGUUGUGAGAGUUCCUUUGCUUCAGAGCCCUUCAGAUGCUCACACACUAUUUGCCUCCUACUGCAUCGGGGAGGGCUAAAGGAUGGGCCAAAUGCAGUGUGAAAUCGGCCCUUUCGUACAUCUUGGACAUAAAACCGACUGGAACAAGCAUACCAAGCCUUCUAGAGGGAUCUCCUGAGGAAGCAGUGGGAGUCCACCAGCCCAAGCUGGUGUGUUUAGGGCACCCCAGGACAGUUGCUCAGUACGUCGUCAUUGCAAAGAACGACAAUGUCGCCAUCCCCCUUCAAGACGAAGGUUUGACAUGUGCCAUUGACAAACUGUUCAAAGUUUUCUGGGUUUGCAACAUGGCAUAUCCUGCCCAACUCGAAUCAGUCUACAGUUUCUUUGAGUAUGUUUAUGACAUGCCCAUCUCAGGUGGGAAGAGAUCAAAAGUUGUGGAACUUAUUGCAAAGCUCCAGGCAGUAUUGUUGUAAGUUGUACCACCAUGUACAGUUGUCCCAAAUGCAAGAAAUCCAUUUCGAAACAAGUCAGGACACUUAUUAGACAUCUUAGGCAAGUUCAUGCAAUUUCAGAUGGACAGGAUUAUACAAUUGUAGUCAGAACCACUGUCAAAGAACUUACCAUAACUUUAAUUCUUAUGCCAGACAUAUAAACAGGGAACACACUCAGGUUGCAAACCCAGUAAAUUUGGAACAAAUGGUCAAUUUUGGUAAUGGGUCGGAAGAUGUUUCUAUGUCAUGCUCCAACGCAAUGAAAACUCCACAAACAGAUUCGGAAACUUCAAUGGAUUGUCAUGUUUCAGACCAUCGUGAGACUGCAGCUUCCUUUGUUGCCAAAAUGUACUGUGCAUCAAAUUCCACCCUAACCGAUGUGCAAAAAAGCAUUGCUUGCACUAAAGAGCUACUGGAAAAGACAUUGGACGAUUUAAAGGAUAAAACUGCAUCUGUAAUUGAUAGCUACUCUUUGUCAAAUCUUUAAUGCAGGAUUUUGAAAAUGCACGAAACAUGUUUUCCGAGGUGGAUACUCGGAAUAUAUGAAAAUAUAAUAAAUAAAUAUUUUUCUGAAAAACACUC